GGCGCUUGAAGCGUUUCCGGCGCCGCAGGAAGCUGCCGUUGUCGAACAUGUCCUCGGACUGCGGGUCCAGGGUCCAGUAGUUGCCCUUGCCCGGGUUGCCCGGCUCGCGGGGGAUCUUGACGAAGCAGUCGUUGAGUGAGAGGUUGUGGCGGAUGCUGUUCUGCCAGGCGGGGAACUUCUCCCUGUAGUAGGGGAAGCGGUUGCUGAUGAACUCGCAGAUGCCGCUCAGGGUCAGCUUCUUCUGCGGGCUCUGCAGGAUGGCCAUGGUGAUGAGCGCGAUGUACGAGUGUGGACAAAUCCUCCAAGAUUUAACUUCCAAGAAAACCGGCGGCGGAGCGGGUGGAGGAGGCGAGGAUGUGUGGCCAAUGCACGCGGAGUGCAAGGCCGCCUAGUUGGGAGCCGCAAGAGCCUGCCUGGUGUGGCAGGCACACGGAACCCAAUCCCUGUCUGUCCGCUGCGGCCUGGGAGGGGAGCGCCGGCCUCACCAGAGGAAGGAGCACGAGGGGAGGAGUUCCGAGAGGAAAUAAUUAGUGAAAUAUUUGCAGAAGAUGCUGGGAUGUGGAUUUAAUUCCGGAUGGACAGUGGUGCUUCUGAUUCCCUCAGUCUGUUUCCCCACCCACGAUCUCCUCUUUCCUUGGCCUAGACACACCAAAAAUAAUUCAAUAAAAUAAAAAUAAAAAUUUAAAAAUCUGUAAA
ensembl:lncRNA FOXD3-AS1 FOXD3 antisense RNA 1